GUAGGUGGCAAGCGUUGUCCGGGAAUUAUUGGGGCGUAAAGCGCGCGCAGGCGGUUCUUUAAGUCUGAUGUGAAAGCCCACGGGCUCAACCGUGGAGGGUCAUUGGAAACUGGAGAACUGAGUACAGAAGAGGAAAGCGGAAUUCCACGUGUAGCGGUGGAAUGCGUAGAGAUGUGGAGGAACACCAGUGGCGAAGGCGGCUUUCUGGUCUGUAACUGACGCUGAGGCGCGAAAGCGUGGGGAGCAAACAGGAUUAGAUACCCUGGUAGUCCACGCCGUAAACGAUGAGUGCUAAGUGUUAGGGGGUUUCCGCCCCUUAGUGCUGCAGCUAACGCAUUAAGCACUCCGCAUGGGGAGUACGGCCGCAAAGGCUG
rnacentral:rRNA from 1 species